rnacentral:rRNA from 1 species
UCCUACGGGAGGCAGCAGUGGGGAAUUUUGGACAAUGGGCGAAAGCCUGAUCCAGCAAUGCCGCGUGCAGGAUGAAGGCCUUCGGGUUGUAAACUGCUUUUGUACGGAACGAAAAAGCUUCUCCUAAUACGAGAGGCCCAUGACGGUACCGUAAGAAUAAGCACCGGCUAACUACGUGCCAGCAGCCGCGGUAAUACGUAGGGUGCGAGCGUUAAUCGGAAUUACUGGGCGUAAAGCGUGCGCAGGCGGUUAUGUAAGACAGUUGUGAAAUCCCCGGGCUCAGCCUGGGAACUGCAUUUGUGACUGCAUGGCUAGAGUACGGUAGAGGGGGAUGGAAUUCCGCGUGUAGCAGUGAAAUGCGUAGAUAUGCGGAGGAACACCGAUGGCGAAGGCAAUCCCCUGGACCUGUACUGACGCUCAUGCACGAAAGCGUGGGGAGCAAACAGGAUUAGAUACCCCAGUAGUCG